GAUUAUACCCACUAUUAGGUUCGAAAUUAAACUUUGUAUACACAGUAAUUUUGUAUGGAAAUGAGAGUAUAUUAGGUUUUUUUAUUAUUAUUAUCAUUGACUAUAGGGGUUAAGGCCUGAUCAGAUGCAGGGCAUAUUCUAUUCUCAGGGGAGCCCGACCGGGCAGCGCUUAGGCACACCAGAUGCCCAUUGUGCCUUGCAGGAUAUAGUCACCUACUAAUUCCCUCAUUAUUUUUGUGACUUUUCUGAUCAUUUCUAGACAAGGUUUAGAGCAAUGAGGAACCAUAAAUGCAGUGUGUCCACGGAUCAUCAACUUUAUUCACAUUUUUAUAUGGACCGGGAAAAAAAAGUACAUAUACCUACUGUAUACCUAAGUAGGAUUUUUUACAGCGAUGUAUGGCAUAAUAUGAUUCUUUAUUAUGCCAUUAAAAGGAACCAUCCUUAGAUCAUGCAAUCAAUAUAUACCGGGUGGUGCCUAGCGCGACGCAGCAUAGGGAUUUCAAUGAUAGGGACACACGAGGCAGAAUUCCGCGAUCAAGAAUCUUUUCACAGACAGACGGCAUUGGGUCUGUACAGUUCUACCUACUCCCCAACGCAGCUUCCGCACUUUACAUCGGCCACUAAAAUUCAUUCAACGCCAAUUCCAAACUCCACCAAUAUGACGACCUGCUAUCCAUAAGGACGAGGUGAUUUGUAAACUAGUGGUCCUUCCAGAACCAGCGCUAGUUACAAGGAGCAAAAUAUGUGCAUUCCACAGCAGUUUCAAAAACCCACCGGUCCGCAAUUGUAUGCAAGGUAUUAAUUUAUUAUUGUAAACACAAACCUGAAAAUGUAGAAGUAUUAAUAUAGAAAAAAUAAAAAGUGAA